GUAUCAGGAGAGGACAGUCUUGCUGAUCCACAUCAUGCAACAUAUGCUGUUAUCAAAAAACAAAAGAAGGAGAAAGUGUCAGCUGAGGACAAUCCUGUUGAUCCAGAAAAUGUAACAUAUGCCGUUGUUAAAAAACAAAGGAAGAAGAAAGAGCCAGAAGUGUCCAGAUCAGGAACCAAUCCACGUUUACUGCAAGAGUGUGUCUAUUCUGUAGUCAACCAUGGGCCGGUGACACCUGACUGAGGAUAUGAUCUUUUCAAAGUUUUACAAGGAGGAAA